AGAAUCUUCAGAACUCCAGGGAAACUAAUAGACUUCAGAACCCUCCAUCGGUCGGCCCAUCCAUGAAGACUGUGUGAUCCUUUUCAUUUGCAACAUUCAAUCUUGGAAUCUGGAGUCGGUUUUCAAAUGGAGUUGCUGGACUAGCUUAGAUGGAACAUUGGAGAUUUGCAAGUUGCCACGGCCUCUCUACCUAUAAUUGGCUUAGCUGCUAUGAUGUCACAGAGAAGCAAAAGUAAAUCAAUUCACAAAAGAAUGACCAACAUGUGAUGGGCAGUCCCACGUGAGGGCCGUGCAGGCGCUUGCCAGCUGCAGGGAUCAAGUGUCAAAAGAUUCUGGAGACCUCAGCCCUGAAGAAAUGCUCCCCCUUCCCUUCCCUUCCCUUCCCUUCCCUUCCACCUCACACCAAAAUCAAUGGCUCUUCCCGUCCAAACAGGCAUGUGACGGAGGGGUGGAGGAGUGCUCUUCUCUCGGUUCUCCCUUCCCCCCACAAAGAGAGAACUUAUGUAGCUUCAGCUCUUCAAUUACCUGAGGUACUUCAAUUAUUUGCACUUC